rnacentral:snRNA from 1 species
AUGCUCACUUCAGCAGCACAUAUAUUAAAAUUGGAACAACACAGAGAUUAGCAUGGCCUCUGUGCAAGGAUGACAUGUAAACUUGUGAAGCAUUCCAUAUUUUA